GGGGGGAGGCCGGAUCCUGGGCUGUGUCCCCAGCACACUGUGCUCCCCAGCCUGCGCUGCUGGAAUCGUGCUCCCGGCCCGGCAGCCCCCU
rnacentral:pre_miRNA from 1 species